GUGGCGGAAGGGCGAGUAAUGCGAGAGCAAGCUACCCCUCGAACCGGGACAACGUUUGGAAACGAACGCUAAUACCGGAUACGAAGCGCGGUCAUAUGGCCGUGUCUUGAAAGGUGGGGAUCCGCAAGGACCUGCCGUCGAAGGAGGCGCUCCCGUGCCAUCUGCUAGUUGGUGAGGUAAUGGCUCACCAAGGCUUACGGCUAGGUGGACUGAGAGGUCGGUCACCCGCGCUGGGACUGAGACACUGCCCAGACUCCUACGGGAGGCUGCAGUCGAGGAUCAUUCGCAAUGGGCGAAAGCCUGACGAUGCGACGCUGCGUGUAGGAUGAAGGCCUUCGGGUCGUAAACUACUGUCAUGUGGGGCAAGGGAGCCGGUGUGAAUAGCGCCUGGCUUUUGAUGGUACCACAAGAGGAAGCCACGGCUAACUCUGUGCCGGCAGCCGCGGUAAUACAGAGGUGGCGAGCGUUGUUCGGAUUUACUGGGCGUAAAGCGUGCGUAGGCGGUCGCGUAUGUCGGAUGUGAAAUCCCGGGGCUCACCCCCGGAAGUGCAUCCGAAACUGCGUGGCUAGAGGCCGGGAUGGGUGACUGGAACACAUGGUGUAGCGGUGAAAUGCGUUGAUAUACAGUGGAGCACCGGAGGCGAAGGCGAGUCACUGGAACGGAUCUGACGCUAAGGCACGAAAGCGUGGGGAGCAAACAGGAUUAGAUACCCUGGUAGUCCACGCUGUAAACGGUGCACAUUUGCCGUAGGGGGAAUUGACCCCCCCUGUGGCGUAGCAAACGCGUUAAAUGUGCCGCCUGGGGAGUACGGCCGCAAGGUUAAAACUCAAAGAAAUUGACGGGGGCCCGCACAAGCGGAGGAGCAUGUGGCUUAAUUCGAUGCAACGCGAAGAACCUUACCUAGACUUGACAUGUACUGCACGACCGGUGAAAGCCGGUUUCCUUCGAGGGUGUCACACAGGUGCUGCAUGGCUGUCGUCAGUUCGUGCCGUGAGGUGUUUGGUUAAGUCCACCAACGAACGCAACCCCUGCGUCCAUUUGCCAUCAGGUAAUGCUGGGAACUAUGGACGGACUGCCCCUUCAAAAGGGAGGAAGGUGGGGAUGACGUCAAGUCAGUAUGGCCCUUACGUCUAGGGCUGCACACGUGCUACAAUGGCCGGUACAGAAGGAUGCAAGACCGCGAGGUGGAGCAAACCCCUAAAACCGGCCCCAGUUCAGAUUGGAGUCUGCAACCCGACUCCAUGAAGUUGGAUUCGCUAGUAACGGCGCAUCAGCAUUCGGCGCCGUGAAUACGUUCCCGGGCCUUGUACACACCGCCCGUCACAUCAUGAAAGCCGUCUGCACCCGAAGCCGGUGCCUCAACCAGCAAUGGAGAGAGCCGUCUAAGGUGUGGGUGGUGAUUGGGAUGAAGUCGGAACAAGGUA
rnacentral:rRNA from 1 species